CCCUUCUCUCUGUCGGAUCUCUCCCAGAUUGAGAAGCGGCUGGGGUCCUUUUCCACCAACCCCACCUUGUUCAUCAAGGAAUUCCGAUAUCGCUCUCGGGCUAUGACCUCACCUGGCAUGACAUUCAUGCAUUCAUUCUUUCUCCCACCCUAACGUCAGAUGAAAGGGAGAGAGUCUUGGGGGCAGCAAUGAACCACGCAGAUCAGGUUCACCUUACAGAUGCCAAUAUGCCAGUGGGGACCCAGGUCAUUCCUCGCCAGGAGCCGGGCUGGGAGUAUCAACUAGAUACCCCUGAAGGGCAAAACGGGUGCCGACGCCGAGACCAGAUGCUCCAAUGCCUGAUGGCCAGCCUACAGACCGUCUCCCACAAGGUAGUUAAUUAUGACAAACAGAGAAAUCACUCAGGGACCAGAUGAGAACCCCGCGGUCCUCCUUAAUUGGCUGACUGAGGCACUGACCUUGUAUACUCAUCUGGACCCUGGGUCCCUGGCCGGAGGGACAGUUUUAGCCACCCACUUCAACUUGCAGUCGGCCCCAGAUAUUCAGAAAAAGUUUAAAAAGGCUGAGGAUGGCCCUCAGACCCCAGUCUGAGAUCUAGUGAACAUGGCCUUUAAGGUCUUUAAUGCCCGUGAGGAGCAGGCAGAGUCAGAUCUGGAGGCCUGCUUUCGACAGAAGGUAGACCUGCAAAGCCAAGCCCUGGUUGCAGCCCUGUGGCCGACAGCAGCCACGCAUUGUCCCAAGGGGGCUAUGCGCAGUGGGGGUGCAAUGAGGGGACAAAUGCCACCCGAGAAUACUUCAAAUGCGGAAAUGAAGGCCACUGGGCAAAGCAGAGCCCCUGGCCCCAGGCUCCAACCAAGUCCUGCCUGGCGUGCAGUCAAAGCGGCCACUGGAAACGUGACUGACCCUGGAAAAGUGAUGGGCCCUCUGCGUCUCAGGAUUGAGGGCCCGCCCUUCCAGGUCAUGACCCGCCACUGGCCAUGCUGGAACUGGCUGAAGACUAAAGGUGCCUGGACUCAACGACCCCCAUCACCCUCGCUGAGCACAGGGUAACACUAAACGUAGCGGGUAAGCCGGGCUCCUUCCAGGUUGAUACGGGGGCUACCUUCUCUGUCCUGCCCUCCUUUUCAGGGCCCCUUUUUCCUUCCAUGAUCUCAGUCAUGAGUAGUGAUGGGAAAUCCACCUGCCCGCUGGCCACCGGACCCCUUCCCUGUCUCCUCGAUGAUAGCUCUAUAACCCACUUGUUCUUAGUCAUGCCUUCAUGCCCCUUUUAGGACGAGAUAUCCUCACCAAACUAGGGGCCACUCUGCAGCUCACUUGGAGCCCUUCAGCCUCCCUGUUUUUUCUGCUCCUGGCCCCCUCCCUUCAUGGGGACGCCGAUCCCCCACUGCCUGUGUCCCUUCUCUACCCAAAGGUGUGGGAAACUUCUACCCCGGUGGUUGCUAGACUCCAUGCCUCGGUCAAGAUCAGGCUUAAGGACCCCACCUCGUUUCCCUCCUGUCCCCCAUUUCCUAUCUGCCUAACUCACCGCCGAGGGCUCAAACCCCUCAUUACUCAGCUUCUGGAGCAGGGUCUCCUCAUACCUAUCAACUCUCCCUGCAACACCCCCAUCCUCCCACUUAGGAAGGCAGAUGGGACCUACCAUCUGGUUCAGGACCUCCGGCUGAUCAAUGAAGUGGUGGUCCCCAUCCACCCGGUGGUCCCUAAUCCUUACACUCUCCUUUCACGCAUCCAGUCCGGUACCAUCCACUUUUCCGUCCUUGACCUCAAGAAUGCCCUCUUUACCACCCCUCUGGACCCAGACUCUUUCCAUCUGUUUGCAUUUACUUGGGAGGACCCAGAUGAGCAGGCAUCCCACCAUCUCACCUGGACGGUCCUGCCCCAGGGGUUCACAGACAGUCCUCACCUGUUUGGCCAGGCCUAGCCAGAGACCUCCAACAAUGCUUGUUAGAACCCAGCACUCUUCUCCAGUAUGUGGAUGAUCUCCUCCUCUGCAGCCCCUCCCUGGACAUGUCUCAGAGGCAUACAUCUAGUCUCCUCAACUUUCUAGGAGACAAGGGAUACCACGUGUCCCCUGCCAAGGCACAACUGUCGGCCUCCACCAUCACUUACUUGGGGAUCUGUCUGAUACCCAAUUCCUGAGGACUGACAGUUGACCGAGCACAGGCAAUACGAGACCUACAGCCUCCCACUUCUUCAGACCAGAUCUUAUCCUUUUUGGGACUGGUAGGAUUCUUCUGCCAUUGGGUCCCAAACUUUGCUCUCCUAACUAAGCCCCUAUACCAGGCUGCUAAAGAAACACCAGCGGGCCCCCUCUCCUCACCCUCCUGGUUCGUCAGGCUUUCUCUAAGCUCCGGGAUACCCUUCUGGCAUCCCCCCCUGCCCCUUUCUCUCCCGGACACCUCUAAGCUGUUCCAACUAUUUACUGAUGAAAGACAGGGAAUGGCUAUUGGGGUCCUCACCCAGCCCCUAGGGCCAGCCUUCACCCCUGUAGCCUACCUGUCUAGACAGCUUGACCCCAUGGUCUGAGGGAUGGCAGCCUUGCUUCCGGGCUCUGGCUGCAGCUGCCGCUCUCACCAAGGAGGCCCCAAAAUUCUGCCUCCAACAACCCUUACAGGUCUUCUCCACCCACAGACUACAGGGUCUCCUGUCCCACAGAUCCUUAUCUCUCCUUGCCCCCUCUCGCAUGCAGGAACUCCAUCUCCUGUUCCUCGAGAAUCCUGACAUCUCCCUGACCCAGUCCCCAGCCCUAAACCCAGCCACUCUCCUUCCCACUGCUGCCACCCAACCUGCCUCAACGCAUUCCUGCCCCGAGGUCGUUGAGGCCCUCACUCACUUCGGGCAGGACUCUCAGAUUCUCCUCUCUCCAAUCUUGACCUUACUCUGUUUGUGGAUGGUAGCUCAUUCCCAGACCCCCAGGGACGUAGGAAAGCCUCCUAAGCAGUAGUAACACACCAGCGGACCCUGGAGGCGGCCCGACUCCCAGAGGGUACCACCUCUCAAAAAGCCAAGCUCAUUACACUGACUGGCGCCCUACAUCUGGCCAAAGGGAAGAGGGUAAACAUAUAUACAGACUCCAAGUAUUCCUUUCUGAUAGCCCAUUGCCACGCGGUAAUUUGGAGGGAGAGGGGCUUUCUCUCUACUAAAGGCUCACUAGACUCAUAACACGCUUACUUGAUGCCUUACAGCUUCCCUCCCAGGUAGCCAUCGUGCACUGCCGAAGCCACAGACUGACUCCUCGCUGGUUACGCGGGGAAACGCCCAAGCAGAUGUGGUGGCCAGAGGCUUAACUCAGGGUAGAGGGUCCCCAGCCCCAGUCCUGUUUCUUUCCCUUCCCUCCAUUACCUCUGAAUAUACAGAAGAUGAGAAAAAUAAACUCCUGCAGCGGGGAGGCUCUCCCGGUCCUGAGGGAUGGAUCUUUAUAAAUAACAAAAUCGCCCUUCCUUGGGUCCAGGCAGGGGCCAUUGCCCAACAGAUCCACCGGUCUUUGCACAUUGGACCACUGGCACUUUGGAGGUUCCUCUAACCCCUUUUCACCUCGCCCACACUGCAAGAGGUGAUCACGAGUGCCUGCUCCUCCUGUCCCAUGUGUGCGGCUGUCUCACCCCAGGGAGGAAUGAGCCUCAACUUUCCCACCCAUCAAAUGAGGGGACACCUCCCAGGGCAGGACUGGCAGGUAGACUUCACCCAUAUGCCUUCCCACAAAAAGACCAGGUAUCUGCUUACCAUGGUAGACACCCUGACAGGGUGGGUAGAGGCCUUUCCCACCCACAAGGAAACUGCUGAAGUGGUGGCUGAGACCCUAACAACACACAUAACCCCAAAGUUCGGCCUCCCCACCUCCAUCCAAUCAGACAAUCGCCCAGCUUUUAUAUCAAGGGUCAUUCAGCAGGUUAGCACCUCUCUUGGCAUCUCCUGGAAACUACACAUACCCUACUGACCACAGUCAUCGGGUAAGAUCGAGAGAAUUAAUGGACUCCUUAAAGACCAUCUAACUAAACUCUCUCUAGAAAUUUGCAGCUCCUGGCCAGAUCUCCUGCCCAUGGCCAUGACCAGAAUCUGGGCUACACCAAGGAGCCCCACCUUCUUAAGUCCUUUUAAACUUCUAUAUGGGAGACCCUUCUUGCUCAACCACCAUCUCCCUACUGAUUCUCCUCCCCUGGGUACUUAUCUUCCAUAUCUGUCAUUACUCAGGCAGCUGCUCUGAGAACAUGUGGACAGGUUUCUGCCCAAGCCAGAACUGACUGACCAGGGCUCCCGAGGACCAGCCCUUCACCCUGGUGACUCGGUCAUCCUUAAGAAUCUACAUCCCAAAGCCUUGGAGCCUAGGUGGAUGGGACCUCACACUGUAAUCCUUACAACCCCACCACGGCCAAGCUGCUUGGCGAUUCGUCAUGGCACCACCUCUCCAGACUCAAGAGGACCGCGGAGCAGCAUGACUUCUAUAAAUGUGAGGUGUUGGGCCCCACUAAGGUCCGCCUUAGUUGCCCUCCCCCUUUUCCUUCUCCUCCCGGCCCUGAGUAACUUACACCCACCCCCACCCGCUUAUGUGUGGAGGUUCAAGGUCCAUGAAACCUACUACCAGGACAGCAAACAAGUCACCUGGCAGGUAGGAUCUCAGGACUGCCCUCUGGUUGGAUGCCAGAUGGAGAUCCUGAUGACUGUCGACCUCCAGUCAGUGUUCAACGAUGGCGGACCCUAUGUCUGUUUUGCUUACAACCAGUGGAACCCAGACAGGUGUAAUCAAGAUGUCAACACCUAUGGGGGUUGGUGCUGGAGAGGCUGUGUCAUCCAUGAUGCCUAUAAUGAGGUCAGGGCUGGCCCCUUUUUCUGGAAGGGUGGGACCUUCAACAUCAGGGUCCGGGAUCCCUGUGACCAGCGAUGGGUUACAGGUAUUAUGGGAAAGCUAUACUGGAAUGGUUGGAGCUUGACCCCUUCAGGGACCAUUUACAUCUCCCGGGAAUAUGUCUUGGCCUAGGAGGCCCAAAUCCAGGUCUCCAACAGCAUCCUAUAGGCCGAACAGUCCCUUAAAGGGAAGCUGCCUGACUCCCCCGGGUAGAAGUCCUAUCUUCUUGGCUCCAACUUAUUCAACACACUCUACUAUUCCUCAACGAGACCCGCACCCUGCCCAAUGUCCUGCACUGCUUUCUAUGCACCUCUCUCUCCAAAGGCCUUUGCUGGCUGCCGUCCCACUCAUAACUCCCCCAGGAACCCAGGGGCAAGGUGAAUGUCAGCCUCCCUCGACUGGCAUUCCCCUUUAGGAGCCUGAAACUCCAGAACCCACCUUGCCCCCACGGAUAUGCUACCAGACCAGUAAUCCGGUAACUGGGGGAUGAGUCACUUGUGACUGUACCCAAAACCACACUGCAGUCAGUCUCACCAAGGCCAGCCCGGGUACCUUCUUUUGGUGCAACAGCACCUUAAGCAACUGCAUAAACUCCUCUAACCCCAGGCCUUGCUUCGUGGUCAUAGUAGUUCAACUAACCUUGUAUGGAGAGUCAGAGCUCGCCUGGCUGCUCCCUUCAUCCCUCCCCUGGGCCUGUUGGGCUGCCUUCCUCCUUGUCAUGUUAGGGGUGAGUAUCACCGCCUCCGUAGGCCUCGCCGUGGGGUCCCUUGGGAACAGUCUGGUCUCUGCUCAGGACUUCAAUGACAAGCUCCAAUUAGCCCUCGAGUCUUCUACCACCUCUUUAGCCUCCCUACAGCGACAAGUAACAUCAAUAGCCCAAGUAGCCCUACAGAACCGGUGCGCCUUAGACCUUCUGACUGCAGAAAAAGGAGGAACCUGUAUAUUCCUUCAGGAGGAAUGCUGCUACUACAUCAACAAGUCUGGAGUAGUGGAGCAAAACGUGCAGACCCUGACUAAGCUGAGUGAAGAACUAUGUCCCCCUGCCUCCUUAAGUUCAUCCGCUUCCGGAUCGUGGAGAUGUCACAGGACGGUGGUUUCUGGAGAAGGUGGCUGCUUUGGCUGAAGAAUAUGUAUGGCAGCAAGAAAUGCAAGAAGGGGGAGCAGAAAUCACAGGAGCAGGAACUGUUACUAAAAACGUAAAUAAUUGGGAACACUUAGAAUUCUUAUCUAAAAUGAGGAAAUAAUGAAUAGUUUAAUUGUAUCUUUCAAGAGUCAAAGCCUUGACCUUUGUCUUCUUCUUACCCUGUACAGGGAGCGGAGUAAAUCCUCAGCUUCAUCAAGGAGGAUUUCUUACUCCGAACAUUUGAGAAAAAGCAGAGUAAAUCCUCGGGUUCAUCAGAUUGAUACCUCCGACUCUAAUGCUGAGACAGGAGGGGAAACUACCUCCUGAAACCUCCACAGAGUGAUGCCAUCCUCAGCCUUAUUAGCAUUAUUAAACAUAUAUUUCAAAUGUGUCAGUUCAUAGCUACCAUUAGCCUUGAUGUAAGGAAUUAAAGUGUAAAUAGUCAAGUAUUUAUAUGCAAAUAACAAGGGCCUCCAGGGCAAGGCCAUGCGCAAAAGUCGGUUUUGGGCCUGGGCGAGUCUAUUUUGAAGAAGUACUGUUGAUAUUUGGUUCUGUUGACUAAUGAGUUUGCCGACCACUGGACAAACAAGAUUCCAUUCAACAUUGAAAUUCUAGACUUUAGAGACAAGAAUAGACCUGGGUUGUGGGGAGGAGAUGUGAGAGACUUGUAACUGGAAGUAUCUGAGUAUUGGACCACCAGCUAGAAUUAAUAAUAAUUUCUUAGACUUGGGUGAUGGUGUCCAUAAUUUUCUCCAGUAUUUGUAUGGUACUUAUAAAAAUAGUUGUUUAUAUCUAGUAAUUCAUCUGCAAGUCUUACUUGAUUUUGAAGCUGCAGAACACCU